GUCGAGGGGCAGCAUGGUCUUAGCUUGCUAAGGCUGAUGGCGACCGGCGCACGGGUGAGUAACACGUAUCCAACCUGCCGUCUACUCUUGGCCAGCCUUCUGAAAGGAAGAUUAAUCCAGGAUGGCAUCAUGAGUUCACAUGUCCGCAUGAUUAAAGGUAUUUUCCGGUAGACGAUGGGGAUGCGUUCCAUUAGAUAGUAGGCGGGGUAACGGCCCACCUAGUCAACGAUGGAUAGGGGUUCUGAGAGGAAGGUCCCCCACAUUGGAACUGAGACACGGUCCAAACUCCUACGGGAGGCAGCAGUGAGGAAUAUUGGUCAAUGGGCGAUGGCCUGAACCAGCCAAGUAGCGUGAAGGAUGACUGCCCUAUGGGUUGUAAACUUCUUUUAUAAAGGAAUAAAGUCGGGUAUGCAUACCCGUUUGCAUGUACUUUAUGAAUAAGGAUCGGCUAACUCCGUGCCAGCAGCCGCGGUAAUACGGAGGAUCCGAGCGUUAUCCGGAUUUAUUGGGUUUAAAGGGAGCGUAGAUGGAUGUUUAAGUCAGUUGUGAAAGUUUGCGGCUCAACCGUAAAAUUGCAGUUGAUACUGGAUGUCUUGAGUGCAGUUGAGGCAGGCGGAAUUCGUGGUGUAGCGGUGAAAUGCUUAGAUAUCACGAAGAACUCCGAUUGCGAAGGCAGCCUGCUAAGCUGCAACUGA
rnacentral:rRNA from 1 species